AUUGAACGCUGGCGGCAUGCCUUACACAUGCAAGUCGAACGGCAGCACGGGAGCUUGCUCCUGGUGGCGAGUGGCGAACGGGUGAGUAAUACAUCGGAACGUACCCAGUAGUGGGGGAUAACGCACCGAAAGGUGCGCUAAUACCGCAUACGACCUACGGGUGAAAGCGGGGGACCGUAAGGCCUCGCGCUAUUGGAGCGGCCGAUGUCUGAUUAGCUAGUUGGCGGGGUAAAAGCCCACCAAGGCGACGAUCAGUAGCUGGUCUGAGAGGACGAUCAGCCACACUGGGACUGAGACACGGCCCAGACUCCUACGGGAGGCAGCAGUGGGGAAUUUUGGACAAUGGGGGCAACCCUGAUCCAGCAAUGCCGCGUGUGCGAAGAAGGCCUUCGGGUUGUAAAGCACUUUUGUCAGGGGAGAAAUCUUUUGGGCUAAUACCCCGGAAGGAUGACGGUACCUGAAGAAUAAGCACCGGCUAACUACGUGCCAGCCGCCGCAGUAA
rnacentral:rRNA from 1 species